UCGCUAGCUAACUGCUAAUCGCUAGCUACAUGCUAAUCGCUAGCUACAUGCUAAUCGCUAGCUAAGCGCUAAUCGCUAGCUAAGUGCUAGCUCUGGUUAAUGUGUUUAAUUGUAUUAUGCUCCUGAAGGAGUGCUAAUGUAAAUUAAGGAACAGCUCAUAGUAGGGUAAAAUAUUUAAGGUGUAUUGAACUUAUUUUGUGUUAAUAUUAAAAUCAUUCAGCUUUAAAUUGUUUGCUUGUUAGCCACCUGCUAAUUAUCUUUAGCUAGCCAGCUAGCGCUAGAUUAUUAAUGCCAUGUAAUCCUCCCUAUAGCAUAUUGAUAACCUGUCAUCCUCCUUAGCUAGCGCUAGCAUAUUAAUAUCAUGUCAUUCUCUUUAGCUAGCUAGCUAGAGCUAGCACACAUAAACACAUAAACCAAAGCUAGCGCUUAGCUACGUGCUAAUCGCUAGCUAACCGCUAAUCGCUAGCUACGUGCUAAUCGCUAGCUGAGCGCUAAUCGCUAGCUAAGUGCUAGCUUUGGUUAAUGUGUUUAAUUGUAUUUUGCUCCUGAAGGAGUGCUAAUGUAAAUUAAGGAACAGCUCAUAGUAGGGUAAAAUAUUUAAGGUGUAUUGAACUUAUUUUGUGUUAAUAUUAAAAUCAUUCAGCUUUAAA